GACGAACGCUGGCGGCGUGCCUAAUACAUGCAAGUCGAGCGAAGUUUUUCUGGUGCUUGCACCGGAAAAACUUAGCGGCGAACGGGUGAGUAACACGUAAAGAACCUGCCUCAUAGACUGGGACAACUAUUGGAAACGAUAGCUAAUACCGGAUAACAGCAUUAACUGCAUGGUUGAUGUUUAAAAGUUGGUUUUGCUAACACUAUGAGAUGGCUUUGCGGUGCAUUAGCUAGUUGGUGGGGUAAAGGCCUACCAAGGCGACGAUGCAUAGCCGACCUGAGAGGGUGAUCGGCCACACUGGGACUGAGACACGGCCCAGACCCCUACGGGAGGCAGCAGUAGGGAAUCUUCCGCAAUGGGCGAAAGCCUGACGGAGCAACGCCGCGUGAGUGAAGAAGGAUUUCGGUUCGUAAAGCUCUGUUGUUAGGGAAGAAUGAUUGUGUAGUAACGAUACACAGUAGAGACGGUACCUAACCAGAAAGCCACGGCUAACUACGUG
rnacentral:rRNA from 1 species